rnacentral:rRNA from 1 species
UACGGAGGGUGCGAGCGUUGUUCGGAAUCACUGGGCGUAAAGCGCGUGUAGGCGGUCUGGCAAGUCUGGUGUGAAAGCCCGGGGCUCACCCCCGGAAGUGCACUGGAAACUGCCAGACUCGAGUCCCGGAGAGGAGAGUAGAAUUCCUGGUGUAGCGGUGAAAUGCGUAGAUAUCAGGAGGAAUACCGGUGGCGAGGGCGGCUCUCUGGACGGUGACUGACGCUGCGACGCGGAAGGUCGGGGACCAAACAGG